rnacentral:lncRNA from 1 species
AUGUCGUACAGUGCCCAUUUUUCCAGUAGAGCAAGUGAGGCAGCCGGGUUCCUGUUCGAGAUGCUUAUGCCUUGGUUCACAGCAAAUUUUGAAGAGCUGCCGGAGGAGAGCAAACUGCAGCCCGGGGAUGUCCUGCUCUUCCCUUUACAGAACAAACCUGUAUUUCUCGCACAAAUCUUCAAGCAUGCUGCCGUCUACUGUGGGGAUGAGGAGAUCAUCCACUUCCAGAACACAAACGAUCAUGCAAAUGGAGGACAAAUCUGCAAGGAAGGCCUCCAUGCUACGUUAAAGAAGAGGGGGAAAUGCCAGACUUACAGGAAAAAGGCUGGGGUUGACCUUGAUGCUUUCCAGAAAAAAGUCCGGAAGGUGAUGAACAGCACAGCCCAGUACAGUCUCACGGGAAACAACUGCAUCCACUUCGCACUCUACCUGCUGGGCUUGUCCGAUUUCUACUCAGAGGCAGUUAAAAUCAAGAAGAAUGACAGCCGUGGCAGUAGAGUUCCGUGCAAUGACCCUGAGAGACCCUGUUACAUGUUCUGACCACCCUCUCUGUGAAGAACCUUUUUCUGACACCCAGCCUGACCCUCCCCUGUUCCAGCUCCAUGCCGUUCCCUCGGGUCCUGUCGCUGUCCCCAGAGAGCAGAGCUCAGCACCUGCCCCCCUGCUCCCUUCGUGAGGGAGCUGCAGGCCGCCAUGAGGCCUCCCCUCAGCCUGCUCUGCUCUUGGCCCUCAGCCGCUCCUCACGCAGCUUGCCCCCAGACCCUCACAAUCUUUGCUGCUCUCCUUUGGACGCCUUCUAAUGGUUUUAUGUCCUCCUUAUAUUGCCUGGGUCCCCAGGAGGGUGGGCCCCCAAGGAGUUACUGGGGUGUCCAAGGAGGGUGGUGGUCACCAGGCCGCUCGUGUUCCAGGGGAGCAAGCAGAAGGUGUGAGGGGGCGGCUAGCGGCCCGUUCCCCUCCAUGUCCAGGGCAGCCAUGUCCCUUUGUCCCCACGCUUUGUCUUUCCACGCAUCUGCUUCCUGCAAAUCAUGACUUUUUGGGGGUGUCCUUUCUAUUUUGUUUUGCGCUGGAUCAUUUCAAAGACACCACUCAGCACCCUCUGCGCGGGAAAGAAACAUUAAUCAGCUGCUUUAUUAAUUAUUUCCACCUAGUCUGCUCAUAUUUGCUGCUUCAUAUCCUGAGUGACUGGGUGAAGUAACUGCCCAGAUGAAAGUCACUAUUUCUGUCUUAAUGAAAAUAUGAAAUAAAAAAUGUUAA